rnacentral:rRNA from 1 species
UGGUUGGAGGCUAACGCAGGGAACUGAAACAUCUUAGUACCUGCAGGAAAAGAAAAUAAAUAAUGAUUCCCCUAGUAGUGGCGAGCGAACGGGGAUUAGCCCAAACCACCCAUGUUACGGCAUGUGUGGGGUUGUAGGACCACGCUCUCGCAAGACAGUUAUUGAGAAGAAACGACUGGAAAGUCGUGCCAUAGACGGUGAUAGCCCGGUAUUCUAAGGUAACCGAAGCGUAGUGGUAUCCUGAGUAGCGCGGAGCACGAGGAAUUCUGCGUGAAUCAGCCGGGACCAUCCGGUAAGGCUAAAUACUCCCGAGAGACCGAUAGCGAACCAGUACUGUGAAGGAAAGGUGAAAAGCACUUCGAAUAGAAGAGUGAAAUAGUCCCUGAAACCAUGCGCCUACAAGCGGUCGGAGCAGCUUAAGUUGUGACGGCGUGCCUUUUGCAUAAUGAACCUACGAGUUACUUUUUCCGGCAAGGUUAAGCAUCUUGAGAUGUGGAUCCGAAGCGAAAGCGAGUCUGAACAGGGCGGAUAGUCGGAAGGAGUAGACGCGAAACCAAGUGAUCUACCCUUGGGCAGGUUGAAGGUUAGGUAACACUAACUGGAGGACCGAACCGAUAAGCGUUGAAAAGCUUCCGGAUGACCUGAGGGUGGGGGUGAAAGGCUAAUCAAACUUGGAGAUAGCUCGUACUCCCCGAAAUGCAUUUAGGUGCAGCCUUGAGAGUUACUAAUGUGAGGUAGAGCGACUGAUAAGAUGCGAGGGCUUCACCGCCUAUCAAGUCUUGAUAAACUCCGAAUGCGCAUUAGUUCUAUCUCAGGAGUGAGGGCAUGGGUGCUAAGGUCCAUGUCCUAAAGGAGAAGAAUCCAGACCAUCAGCUAAGGUCCCCAAAUAAACACUAAGUUGAACUAACGAAGUCAGAUUGCUAAGACAGCUAGGAUGUUGGCUUGGAAGCAGCCAUUCAUUUAAAGAGUGCGUAACAGCUCACUAGUCGAGGAGUUUGGCGUGGAUAAUAAUCGGGCAUAAGUGUUUUACCGAAGCUAUGGGAUACGUAAGUAUCGGUAGGGGAGCAUUCCACUCAGCGUUGAAGGCGAAGCGUGAGCUUUACUGGAGCGUGUGGAAAAGCAAAUGUAGGUAUAAGUAACGAUAAAGGGGGUGAGAAACCCCCUCGCCGCAAGACUAAGGUUUCCUGAUCAACGCUAAUCGGAUCAGGGUUAGUCGGGUCCUAAGGCUCAGCCGAACGGUGAGGCCGAUGGCAGAACAGGUUAAUAUUCCUGUACUACCUAUAGGAGUGAUGUGGAGACGGAGGAGUGACAACGCCGCGGACUGACGGAAUAGUCCGUUAAAGGGUGUAGAUGUUGAUUAUCCCAGGCAAAUCCGGGAUAAGAGUCGAACCUGACAGUAUACCAAUUUCCUCGGAAAACGGUAAUAGUGCGUGUAAACAUACUCCCAAGAAAAUCCGCUAAACUUAAUCUUAUAGGUACCCGUACCGUAAACGGACACACGUAGUCGGGUUGAAUAUACUCAGGCGCUUGAGUGAAUCACGGUUAAGGAACUAGGCAAAUUGACCCUGUAACUUCGGGAUAAAGGGUCCCUACCCGGUGACGGGAGGGCGCAGAGAAUAGGUCCAGGCAACUGUUUAACAAAAACACAGGGCUGUGCAAAAUUGAAAGAUCACGUAUACAGCCUGACACCUGCCCGGUGCUGGAAGGUUAAGAGGAGAUGUCAUCGCAAGAGAAGCAUUGAAUUGAAGCCCCAGUAAACGGCGGCCGUAACUAUAACGGUCCUAAGGUAGCGAAAUUCCUUGUCGGGUAAGUUCCGACCUGCACGAAUGGUGUAAUGAUCUGGACACUGUCUCAACCGUGAGCUCAGUGAAAUUGUAGUAUCGGUGAAGAUGCCGAUUACCCGCGAUGGGACGAAAAGACCCCGUGAACCUUUACUAUAGCUUAACAUUGAAUUUGGGUAAUUGAUGUGUAGGAUAGGCCGGAGACUUUGAAGCAGG